UGUUAUUCUUUAAGCUUGAACCCACUAAAUCACAUUUCCAGUGCGGUUUGUUCGGUGAGGAGUAUUGGUCAGAAGGUAUAGAAUAUCAAGUGUAUUAAAAAUUGGGUUGCUGUUCUAGAUAUGUCUCAAUGAUUUAGGAUGUCUCUGUAACUGCGGACUCAAACAUUGGGCCUAACCAUUCACCACGUUUUAUCUACGUGUCCAAACUCCUAGACAGGCAUCCUUUAUCAUUAAUCUUCCAGACAAACAAUGAGCAGGCCUACACCCAAAGGAAAUUUGGAGCGUCGCAAACCUACCAUGCCAAAUAUUUGUGAACCUGUGGAGGUAUCUGGACCAUUCUUCUUGGAACUAAGUACCAAAGGUCACUCUGAAAGCAACCAUGUGCCUUAAGGUUAUCGUGAAGGUUCAAUGAGACCGUGCAUGUGAAGUCUUUCUUACUGGGCUGGCGAGUUCUCAAUAAAUGGUGGCUAUUAAGUUAUCAGAAUAACAAUUAAUGAUUUAUCACAAGAGCGCCUUGGAGUUUUGGCAAUUAAGUAGGAAGAAAAAUGACAAGGCUUCCAUACCUGGCAAAGGAAAUAUUCCUAUUGACUGUCUGUAGGUAUACGUGGGGAUAAAACUAAGGACACUCGGUUGCCUCUGAAAGAAACACACAAUGGGGGCCUCCGGGUGGCUCAGUGGGUUAAGCGUUGGACUCGGUUUCAGCUCAGUCUCAAAAAACAUUAAAAAAAAAAAAAAAAAAAAAAAAGAAAAUGAAAGAAACACACAAUGGUUAAUCUUCACACUUCUGAUACA